AGGACGAACGCUGGCGGCGUGCUUAACACAUGCAAGUCGAGCGGUAAGGCCUUUCGGGGUACACGAGCGGCGAACGGGUGAGUAACACGUGGGUGAUCUGCCCUGCACUUCGGGAUAAGCCUGGGAAACUGGGUCUAAUACCGGAUAUGACUUCAGGUUGCAUGACUUGGGGUGGAAAGAUUUAUCGGUGCAGGAUGGGCCCGCGGCCUAUCAGCUUGUUGGUGGGGUAAUGGCCUACCAAGGCGACGACGGGUAGCCGACCUGAGAGGGUGACCGGCCACACUGGGACUGAGACACGGCCCAGACUCCUACGGGAGGCAGCAGUGGGGAAUAUUGCACAAUGGGCGAAAGCCUGAUGCAGCGACGCCGCGUGAGGAUGACGGCCUUCGGGUUGUAAACCUCUUUCAGCAGGACGAAGCGCAAGUGACGGUACCUGCAGAAGAAGCACCGGCUAACUACGUGCCAGCAGCCGC
rnacentral:rRNA from 1 species